rnacentral:rRNA from 1 species
UACGCAGGGGGCUAGCGUUGCUCGGAAUCACUGGGCGUAAAGAGCUCGUAGGCGGUCUGUCACGUCGGAUGUGAAAACUCGGGGCUCAACCCCGAGCCUGCAUUCGAUACGGGCAGACUAGAGUUCGGUAGGGGAGACUGGAAUUCCUGGUGUAGCGGUGAAAUGCGCAGAUAUCAGGAGGAACACCGGUGGCGAAGGCGGGUCUCUGGGCCGAUACUGACGCUGAGGAGCGAAAGCGUGGGGAGCGAACAGG